AUGACCCAUCACCAUCAUGUCCAUGCCCCAGACUUGGGUGAGCGCUCAAGGAAGAAAUUUGUAGUUCCACUGUUGGAUUCCAAGCAGGCAAUUCAUGAUCAGCCUUGCGCAAGCUAUGGAGUUUCAAGAAAUCGAUUGACAGGUGGAGUGACUGCUGGGGUCAUAAACGAAGAAACAAUCAAGUCACUGGACAGCAAAACAGAUUAUUUAUUCCCAAUGUCGUUGCUCUUUCAAAAUUGCAGGCCUAUUGGUUAUGUGGUAAGCAACCACUGGACCCUUUCUACAAGCACAUAA
rnacentral:rRNA from 1 species